rnacentral:rRNA from 1 species
UUGACCUCGGAUCAGGUAGGAAUACCCGCUGAACUUAAGCAUUM